UGACAGUACCUUUACCAGGUCAUGACAGUACUAUACACCUUUACCAGGUCAUGACAGUACUAUACACCUUUACCAGGUCAUGACAGUAAUAUACACCUUUACCAGGUCAUGACAGUACUAUACACCUUUACCAGGUCAUGACAGUAAUAUACACCUUUACCAGGUCAUGACAGUACUAUACACCUUUACCAGGUCAUGACAGUACUAUACACCUUUACCAGGUCAUGACAGUACUAUACACCUUUACCAGGUCAUGACAGUACUAUACACCUUUACCAGGUCAUGACAGUACUAUACACCUUUACCAGGUCAUGACAGUACCUUUACCAGGUCAUGACAGUACUAUACACCUUUACCAGGUCAUGACAGUACUAUACACCUUUACCAGGUCAUGACAGUACUAUACACCUUUACCAGGUCAUGACAGUAGUAUACACCUUUACCAGGUCAUGACAGUACUAUACACCUUUACCAGGUCAUGACAGUACUAUACACCUUUACCAGGUCAUGACAGUACUAUACACCUUUACCAGGUCAUGACAGUACCUUUACCAGGUCAUGACAGUACUAUACACCUUUACCAGGUCAUGACAGUACCUUUACCAGGUCAUGACAGUAUUAUACACCUUUACCAGGUCAUGACAGUACUAUACACCUUUACCAGGUCAUGACAGUAAUAUACACCUUUACCAGGUCAUGACAGUACUAUACACCUUUACCAGGUCAUGACAGUAUUAUACACCUUUACCAGGUCAUGACAGUAUUAUACACCUUUACCAGGUCAUGACAGUACCUUUACCAGGUCAUGACAGUACUAUACACCUUUACCAGGUCAUGACAGUAAUAUACACCUU